AGAUACAUUUAUGUGCAAAGUGUUUACGUUUCCUUAUGCUCUUAUAUGCGAUUAAAUAUGCAUGGAAUGCUAGUGGACCUUCGGGUUCUAGAGAAAGAGACAUGAAAUUUCUACAUGGAAAUUAAGAGGACCUAAGAUAGGUGUGUCGCUUGGUCACCGAUAUACUCCAUAAGAGAAGAGCGAUUAGUUCGGGUCGAUUGGAACAGUAGAGAAUUGGUGAUGCGGACUGCCAAGUGGAUAAAGAAUAGA